UCAAAGAGGAUAAAAUGAAGAUAAUCCUUUAAUGUGUUCAAGUGACCAACUUAAUAAUUUAAAAGGUCUAGCAGUUGUUUUUAAUUCUCUCUGAAAAGUUCAAGAGAAAGUGGUUGUUCAUUUUUCACGAGGUGGACUACGUAGAGGCUGGGAUAUUUUCGUUGUGGCUUGGAAUCGACAUCGAAUCAGCAGCAUCCUUUCAACGUUUUCAGUAAAGAAGAGCUGCCAAAUUAGCUCGUGGAUUAGAGAACAUCGGAGGCAUCGCUCACACAAUCAUUCAAAGCUUUUGGUAUAGUUAGUUUUGUUAUCUUGAGUAUGGCAUGUAUAGGGAUUGAGUCUUUUGUUAUGUGUCAUAUUGUUAAGUUAGCCAAUUAUGUGACUUGGGAUGAAAAGGUUUUUUUAUAAGGCCAUUUUUAAUGGAUAAUAUUCAUUAUUGAUAACUACAAA